AUUGAACGCUGGCGGCAGGCCUAACACAUGCAAGUCGAACGAGUGGCGGACGGGUGAGUAAUGUCUGGGAAACUGCCUGAUGGAGGGGGAUAACUACUGGAAACGGUAGCUAAUACCGCAUACCAUCGGAUGUGCCCAGAUGGGAUUAGCUACUCGGGGGGGUAACGGCUAACCUAGGCGACGAUCCCUAGCUGGGCUGAGAGGAUGACCAGGCACACUGGAACUGAGGCACGGUCCAGACUCCUACGGGAGGCAGCAGUGGGGAAUAGUGCACAAUGGGCGCAAGCCUGAUGCAGCCAUGCCGAGUGGAUGAAGAAGGCCUUCGGGUUGUAAAGUACUUUCAGCGGGGAGGCGUUACCCGCAGAAGAAGCACCGGCUAACUCCGUGCCAGCAGCCGCGGUAAUAC
rnacentral:rRNA from 1 species